GAAAAAUUUUCUGCACAGAAAUAUAUGAGGAUACAGUUUCCAUGGAAUAUGGAAAAUGAUAAUAGAACUUCAGAGAGAAAACAAUGUAAAAUUUUCAUCUGUUGAAAAACUUAUCCAGGUCAUGAACUCAAGGCCAUGGGAUCGAGCACUGCAUCGGGCUCUCCUUUCAGUGGCAUGUCUGCUUUUCCCUCUUCUUCUAUGCUCU
rnacentral:lncRNA from 1 species